AUGGAGAAACCAAACCUUGCUGGGCCCCUGCACAACACCUGCUCCAGGCUCCACGCUUGGAAAUUAAGGCUCAUGGCGGGAAGCUGCCCGCGAGAGCAGACGCCUGGGCGUCAGGAACCAGAAGACCUGAACUUCUCAAGUUGUAACAUUUUCCGUGCCGAUUUCCUCAUCUGCAAAUGGGUAGAGGGCACUCACCGGUCGGGGCUGUUCUGGGGCUGGCAGAUGACGUGUUUCUGUCCGGGCACAUGUUGGUGGAGUCAGCCACGUGUGGCUGUGACCUUCGGUUCCCACAGGCUGUUCUGGUUUCCCGUCGCCUGCUGUGUUCCUCUCCACUCUCCAUCCCGGCUUUCACCGCAACACUGGUGACCCUCACUUCAAGUUAAAAUUCGAAUCCACCAGUCCUGAAUUUUUCUCGUGGCCAAAGUUGGGAGAAUUAUCUCCAACCAUAUUGAAAACAUGCAUCAACCUCACAUUAACAUGAACACAGAUCUUUUAAGGAAAUGGAUGCGCUGGCACUUUAACAAAACCCCAAGUCCCACAUCCCCUUCCCAGCUGCCCAGACUUCUGCAAAUAUUUGAAGAGAGGGGGCAUUCCGUCACAGGGGAAGCUAUUCCGGAGUUUCUUGCCCUGACAUCCAGGAUCUCAGGAGCACAUCACGGGAAAAUGGCCUCGGAUGGUCCAAGGUCAUGCAAAGGACGUGCAUGGCCACAUGGCUCCAACCAGGAGACACAGAAUGGCCACUCACUUGGCAUAUUCAUAGACACCCCAGCAUGAGGGGCGGAGUGGUGAGUUCGGACCCAACUGGUAUGACAAGCAGGCGUCCUAGAGACAGGACUCGGCGUUGACAUGACCACCCAACCCCGAAGUAUAAAGACAGCAUUUUUAACAUGGCCAGAGAGUCCCUGACCGCAUAGACAGCAGGUGUGCAGGUUACAAACAGGAACCAGCGGUGGUGGUUCACGGAAACAAUCAGAUAUCGGUCUGUCCAUUUAAUAAAAUUAUACUGAGACCUACUAUGUGCCA
rnacentral:lncRNA from 1 species